UGUGUUGCCCAAGCUGGUCUUGAACUGUUGAGCUCAAGUGACCCUCCUGUCUCAGCCUUCCUAGAAGCUGGAACUAAGCUGUGCCAUCACACUGGGCAUAAUACCUUGCCCUUGCAUAGAGGUUUCAAAUUAUAUCUAUAGGUUGAAGCUGAUGAAAGGAGCUUUCACAAGCUGUUACCAACUAUGAUCUCUAGUCCUCAUCUCAUCAGGAAAUGCAAAGUACUUCAUGUUGUUCCUUUCAUUUAGUCUCAUGUGAUCUCAGCCAUGCUAACUCCGGCUACGAGAGCAAAGAGUCUGAAAUAUUCCAAGUCAUAAAAUGCUCGCUGCUGGUCACUGCUGCCCAGGCCUAAGGAUGGGGAGCUGGCUUCACGGGGUGUGGAGAAUUUCAAGUACCAGAAGCUAGAUGAAGAUUUUCUCUGCUUUGGUACCUUAGAGAUUCUAUGCAUGGAAAAUACCAUUCAACUCCCCCGCUUUAGGGAGGUGCAGUGAGAAGUGAGGCUGUGUCAGUAAGAGCCACUGCCAUGUCUGUGGAUGUGGCUUAAAUUUAGAGGGCCAUGCUGUGGCAGGGCGGGGGGAACCUCAGAGGUCCAUAGGACACCACAUGGAGGUUUACAGUCCUGGCUACAGACAGCUGACCUACAGAUGAAUGUGGCCUUUAAGUGACAUCAGGAGACGUUUAAACAUUGGCAGAUCUAGCACAAAUAUCUGGCUUUCUGGCUUCUUUGGCAGAACAAGGCAGUCUGGUAAUAUGGUCAGCGUAGCCAUGGCCUAGGGUGAGUGUUCUGCAUUUACUUUCUAAACACCAGCCUCCCCCAUCAGAUUGUAUCCUGGCCUCCACCCACAAAAUUUACACCACUGAUAAAGCUGUAACCCCCAGCUAAACCACUGACGAGGUGCUUUCACCUUCUGCAAAAGUCUCCCACAUUUUCCAUCUCUGCCUGCUGCCCCACUCGGCUUCUUUCCAAAGAGAGCAAGCCCUGGGUUGGCCAAACAUUUCCUCCAAGGACAGUCCACUCACACUUGCCCCAGGGAGGUAUCUUGGGCUACAGAGCUUUUUCUAAUCUCCCUGUCAUCAACAAAACAUCUGUGCUUCACCCAAUUCCUUUCCCAUUUGAUUCUGUUGGAUUCUUUUGUUUCAGCCAGAGGACCUCUAGCAAUCUGAUAAACUAAUCAGUGGAAAUGAACUAGGUUAUCUUCCCAACAGCCAUUUUUGAAAUGGAUUCCAGGCUUUCAAAAUAUACCUUGGCCUCCACCCUAAGGAAUCCAUCUACCUGUGGUCAGUGAUCCACAAGAUUUCUAACUUUGUUUUGGUACCAGGGAUCAAACUCGGGACCUUGUGCUUGCAAGGCAGGUGGCAGAACCACUGAGCUAAAGCCCCGGCCCCCAGAUUUCUAACUUUGUAUGUCUCUUCUUAUGCAUUUCCACGCAUAGUAUCUGCCACCUACUCACAAGUAAUACUCAAGGAAAAGGGAACAAAUUUUGGACAUUUUCUGAGGUAACGGCCAAUUCAAAUUUCCUCAAAUAUUUCUGCAUAUUUAGUUCAGAGAUCUUAAGAAUCACAAUUUCUGGGUCCAGAGCACACACCAGACCUAAAGACAAGAGUUUCUGUCCACCUAGCCACCCAAACUGGUCAUGGCCAUACAAGGAGAUCUUCCUUUGCAGUUGAUGAGAAAAGCCAGAUUUUACAAAGGAAACUUAGGUGUAUUCUGCUAUCAAUUAAAGCCAAGGGGACAUCUGUCUCCUCCUAAACACUCACCAAAUUGUGAAGGUGUGCAGAGAUGUUUUUUAAAAAACUUCAUUAAGUCUACUAAGGAAACAGAGUCAACUAUUACCUGUUAAUGUUCUUGGUUUUCCCAAGAGGAACAAGUGUCUCAAAUUGGGUUUUCAGGAGAACGAUAUGAAGUGAACUACUGUACAUUGUGUUCAUGAGUCAGAAAGGACAGUCUUGAGUAUGAGUCACAACUAAGUCUAGCUAAGGCCUUGGGUACAAAUGGAGAGCCUUUCUGUGCUACCAAACUUCCUCAAAGACCACACACACAUGUCCAUGGCAUAGGUGUUCGUCCUACAAGGACCUGUGCUCCUGCUAACUCUUGGCCACACCCGUGGAUGGAAUCAUCCCUUCCCUUCCGGUUCGGAGAAGCUGAGAGAUACAAGCAGGCAGGUCCAUACAGGUGUGGGACACAAAAUGAAGCUUCAUUUGGCUCCAUGGACUCAUAUAAGAUUUUUUUUUUGGUACAGGGAUCGAACUCAGGACUUUGUGCUUGCAAGGCAGGCAGCAGAACCACUGAGCUAAAUCCCCGGCUCUCAUAUAAGAUUAUAACAGGGAUUUCUAAUUAUGUAAGACGUUCGUGCUCCCUUGUAAGGCAGCAGCAGUAUCUAAUGAAGAGAACUUUUCAAGUCAGGGAAGAAACGAUUCAUUUAAUUUUGGCCAAAUUACAGUGGAUCUGGGAGAUCUAUCAAGGGCACAGCCCCGAUUUCAGGAUAGCCAGCUGUUUCAACUCUUCCGCCAGGGAACUGUGGCCUCAAGAACCAUGUCUGAUGGCAGAUAGUCUCCUGGCGCCCAAAACAUGCCCAUCUGUGUGGACGGCAGGGAGCCCGUGGACAGCUUGACUCUGAAGGAGGUGAAUGUGUCCAGGGAGCCCUGGAAAAGUGAGCAGAACUGGAGAUCCAUAGCACAGAACUGGUGGGCCUAAGAGGCAGGCAAGACCUACAGCGUUCUCUCUCCAGAUCAUCGUCAAUGGAAAAUCCCCCUUCCUCCAGAAGAGGCUCUUCCAUCAUGUCAUUUCUGCCUUGGACCCACCUGAUCAUGGACUGAACCCACUGGAACUGUGAGCCAAAAUAAACUCCUCCUCCUUUAAGUUGAGGGUGUUGGGCAUUUCGUCUCAGCAAUGAGACAGAAAAUUGGUACCAAGAGUGAGGUCACUGCUGUGACUUACAUGACUAUGUUUUUCUGAAGUCUUUGAAUCUGGUUUGCAAGAGGAGUUUGGACAGGUUUGGAGAAGCCCUAGAAUGUUGUGAAUAGUGCCUGAUGUGUGAUACUGGUCAGAGCUCAGAAGAUUAGAAUGCUGACAGGAAUGUGGACAUGCAAGGCCAGGCUCAAGUGGUUUCACUUGGGAACAAGGAUUACAUUGGCAGUUGGACUCAAGGCCAUGUAUUUUAUCUUCUGGCAGAAAAUUUGCCUACAUUUUGCCCAUGUCCUCAGACCUUGUGGGAGACUGAGAUUAAGGAUGUCAGAUUAAUUAAUCUGGUAAAAGAAAUUUCAAGACAGCCCAACAUUCAGGCUGUGACAUGAGAACUGUUGGCUGCUUUAGCCAGAUGAAUAGUAAAAAUCAGCAAAUGGCAGAGUUGAAUGAUUUGAAAAGCUUGUGGUUUCACCAGAAAGGAAGCUCUUGCAAAGAUGGGGCCAUGGAAAGCAUGUUGCUCAAAAGAUUAGUAUUAAAAAGAAGCCAAGUACUUUGGAUAAGGAAAAUAUGAAAGAUGGCUUGAAAGGCAUCUCAGGAAUCAGCAAGACAUCACCCAUCACAGGCUUGGAGGUACAAAAGUAGAAGGGCUGCUGAGAGAACUAGUUCCUUGGGAUUUAUUUCAUCAUGUUCAGCCAUCCAGGCACUCAGAAACCUCUGCAGCCAUCGUUCAAGGAGACUGAGCUACUACUCAAGCUGGCAGUCAACCAUGGUGUACUACUGGUUUUUCAGGGAUGCAGAAUGCAAGAGUUAUAGGUUCAUGGAGGCUUCCACUCGGACUUCAGAAGAAGACCUGGGAAGCCAUGUAAAAACAAGUGACAGGGUCACAGUCCCCACCAGGCCCAUUAGAGGACAGUGCAUAAAGCUGUGAGAGUGAAGCCAAAUGUGCAGUGGAGACCCCAGAAAGUCAGAGAUGCCAAGAAUGGAAUAUCUGCUGAGGAAGCCACAGGCAAAGAGUGAAGACAUCCUCAGAGAGACUCCAUGUGGGGGUGUAACCUGCAAUGCCAGAAGGGCAGGGCUCCCCCAGCCCUUUGGAACUCACAUUUCACCAUGACCUUCCCUUUGUGCCAGACAUGAUACCAUAAGAUUUGCUCUGCUGGAUUUUGGUCUUGCUUUGGUUCAGUUUCUUUCCAUUCUCUUAUUCU